rnacentral:lncRNA from 1 species
CUGAAAUUUUAUAAAAAGAUUCAAAACAUGAAAGUGUUUCCCUCAACGAUAUUUCCCUUCCAUCUAACAUAAGGAAUGUGUCAUCUGCGUACAUGCUUAAAAGAGAUUCAUUAUCAUUGAUGGUAAUUCCCCUUAUGUCAGGAUUACCUUUUAAUUUCAAAGAUAAUAAUUCAACCCCAAUUAUAAAUAAAUAAGGAGAAAGAGGAUCUCCUUGUCUGCAACCUCUUUCUAAAUGAAAAAACUUAGACAUGUGUCCAUUAUUUAUAACACAACUUGAUGCCCCUGAGUAUAAAGUUUCAAACCAUCUACAUAAAGAAGGCCCAAAAUUAAAGCUUUUCAAAGAAUUUUUUAAAAAUAACCAUUCCAAGGAAUCAAAUGCCUUUUCAAAAUCAACAAGUAAUAAAAGACCUGUCUUAUUAUUUUCCUCAAGAUAGUGCAUCAAAUCAUAUAAGAGGCGUGUGUUCUCACCCAUAAAUCUGUCUUUAAUGAAACCUUUUUGUGUGUCACUUAUGAUAAAUGGUAAAAUGGGUUUAAGUCUAUUAGCUAUAACAGCAGAAGCUAUUUUCAUAUCAGUAUUCAGUAGACUAAUAGGACGCCAAUUACUAAUAUACUGUCUGUCUUUUCCCUCUUUAGGAAUGCAAGUUAUUAUACUUUGAUACUGAAAAUCAGAAAAUUUACCCCCCGCAUAUCCAAAGUGAAGAGAUCGAAAGACAAAAGGGCAUAUAUCUUUCCAAAAAAAUUUUUUAUAA